CAAACAACAUUCCCCUCCUUCAGUGCCUUGAAAGUGGUGUCAUUCAGUAGUGGAUCAGUCAUCAACACCAUGGACCUUAGCUUUGUGGGUACACUUGCUCCUAAUAACAUUCAGAUUACAAGCGCUUUGAUCAAAGUAGCUUCAAGCGUCAGCGGCUUCGACAUUGAAGGCAGCUCCAUCAGCGUGAAUGGCAUCUCUUCGGAUGGAGUAAUCCACAAAAUCAGUCUUGUCACUGCAUCCUGCCUGGUACUGUUGUCAUGGCUAUUGUAAAGCAAGCAAUAACAUCUGUGCUGAUUCCAU